GACGAACGCUGGCGGCGUGCUUAACACAUGCAAGUCGAGCGGUAAGGCCCUUUCGGGGGUACACGAGCGGCGAACGGGUGAGUAACACGUGGGUGACCUGCCCUCAGCUCUGGGAUAAGCCUGGGAAACCGGGUCUAAUACCGGAUAUGACUCCAUGACGCAUGUUGUGGGGUGGAAAGCCUUGUGCGGCUGAGGAUGGGCCCGCGGCCUAUCAGCUUGUUGGUGGGGUGANGGCCUACCAAGGCGACGACGGGUAGCCGGCCUGAGAGGGCGACCGGCCACGCUGGGACUGAGACACGGCCCAGACUCCUACGGGAGGCAGCAGCGGGGAAUCUUGCGCAAUGGGCGAAAGCCUGACGCAGCGACGCCGCGUGAGGGAUGACGGCCU
rnacentral:rRNA from 1 species